AUUGAACGCUGGCGGCAGGCCUAACACAUGCAAGUCGAGCGGAUGAAGGGAGCUUGCUCCUGGAUUCAGCGGCGGACGGGUGAGUAAUGCCUAGGAAUCUGCCUGGUAGUGGGGGAUAACGUCCGGAAACGGGCGCUAAUACCGCAUACGUCCUGAGGGAGAAAGUGGGGGAUCUUCGGACCUCACGCUAUCAGAUGAGCCUAGGUCGGAUUAGCUAGUUGGUGGGGUAAAGGCCUACCAAGGCGACGAUCCGUAACUGGUCUGAGAGGAUGAUCAGUCACACUGGAACUGAGACACGGUCCAGACUCCUACGGGAGGCAGCAGUGGGGAAUAUUGGACCAUGGGCGAAAGCCUGAUCCAGGCAUGCCGCGUGUGUGAAGAAGGACUUCGGAUUGUAAAGCACUUUAAGUUGGGAGAAAGGGCAGUAAGUUAAUACCUUGCUGUUUUGACGUUACCAACAGAAUAAGCACCGGCUAACUUCGUG
rnacentral:rRNA from 1 species